rnacentral:tRNA from 1 species
AAUAAAGUGUCUGAUAAAAGAGUUAUUUUGAUAGAAUAAAAAAUGUAAUUUUAAUUACCUUUAUUA